rfam:Methyloceanibacter marginalis strain R-67177 contig_187, whole genome shotgun sequence.
CAGCCCUACGGAGUGCUCAGGUCCGCCGCAUCUCCUGGGUCCGUGGGGUUUGGCCGGUCGGAGCGCGGUUGAGUGGCCUCCUCGUUAGCGCCGCGUUUCGACCGGCCACCUU